AAGGUUUUAAGUUAAAUAAACUAAUAGCCUUCAAAGCUAUAAUUAAGAAUAAUAUUUUUAAACCUUA
rnacentral:tRNA from 1 species